rnacentral:misc_RNA from 1 species
UACGUAGGUGGCAAGCGUUGUCCGGAAUUAUUGGGCGUAAGGCGCGCGCCGGCGGUCUCUUAAGUCUGAUGUUAAAGCCCCCGGCUCAACCGGGGAGGGCCAUUGGAAACUGGGAGGCGUGAGCAUAGGAGAGAAGGGUGGAAUGCCACGUGUAGCGGUGAAAUGCGUAGAGAUGUGGAGGAACACCAGUGGCGAAGGCGACUCUUUGGCCUAUAACUGACGCUGAGGCGCGAAAGCGUGGGGAGCAAACAGG